rnacentral:lncRNA from 1 species
UUGUGGAGUUUGGGGUGGUGGGGCUUUUGGGCUUGAAGCAGGUGCAACUUUUGGAGCUGGUGGUGUCACAGGUGCGGGUUUGGGAGCUACAAUUGCAGGUGGCUGGGAUGUAGUUGGUGGUGUACUUGUGGUGGGAGGGGAUGCCACCACUGUUGGUGGUAGUGUUACCGCCAGUGGCGUGCCGGAAGAUGGUGAUGUUGCAGCUGGGGUUGUAGGUGGUGAGUUUGCCGGCGCAGUUGCAGGUGCUUGGGCAUUGGAAGGUAGCUGGCCACAGAGGCUUACCAAAGCCAAAGCCCAGAACACUGCAGCCAUUGUA